ACGAAGGGGGCUAGCGUUGUUCGGAAUCACUGGGCGUAAAGGGCGCGUAGGCGGCUUUGUAAGUCGGGGGUGAAAGCCUGUGGCUCAACCACAGAAUUGCCUUCGAUACUGCAUGGCUUGAGACCGGAAGAGGUUAGUGGAACUGCGAGUGUAGAGGUGAAAUUCGUAGAUAUUGGGAAGAACACCGGUGGCGAAGGCGGCCAUCUGGACCGCAACUGACGCUGAGGCGCGAAAGCGUGGGGAGCAAACAGGA
rnacentral:rRNA from 1 species